rnacentral:rRNA from 1 species
CUCAGUUCGGAUUGUAGUCUGCAACCCGACUACAUGAAGCCGGAAUCGCUAGUAAUCGCGAAUCAGAAUGUCGCGGUGAAUACGUUCCCGGGUCUUGUACACACCGCCCGUCACACCAUGAGAGUCGGGAACACCCGAAGUCCGUAGCCUAACCGCAAGGGGGGCGCGGCCGAAGGUGGGUUCGAUAAUUGGGGUGAAGUCGUAACAAGGUAGC